GAUCAUGGCUCAGGAUGAACGCUAGCUACAGGCUUAACACAUGCAAGUCGAGGGGAACGAUAGAGAAAGCUUGCUUUUCUAGGCGUCGACCGGCGCACGGGUGAGUAACGCGUAUCCAACCUGCCCAUCACUUGGGGAUAACCUUGCGAAAGAAAGAUUAAUACCCGAUGGCAUAGUUCUUCCGCAUGGUAGAACUAUUAAAGAAUUUCGGUCAUCGAUGGGGAUGCGUUCCAUUAGGUUGUUGGCGGGUAACGGCCCACCAAGCCUUCGAUGGAUAGGGGUUCUGAGAGGAAGGUCCCCCACAUUGGAACUGAGACACGGUCCAAACUCCUACGGGAGGCAGCAGUGAGGAAUAUUGGUCAAUGGACGAGAGUCUGAACCAGCCAAGUAGCGUGAAGGAUGACUGCCCUAUGGGUUGUAAACUUCUUUUAUACGGGAAUAAAGUGAGGCACGUGUGCCUUUUUGUAUGUACCGUAUGAAUAAGGAUCGGCUAACUCCGUG
rnacentral:rRNA from 1 species